GAUGAACGCUGGCGGCGUGCCUAAUACAUGCAAGUCGAGCGAACAGAGGAGGAGCUUGCUCCUCUGACGUUAGCGGCGGACGGGUGAGUAACACGUGGAUAACCUACCUAUAAGACUGGGAUAACUUCGGGAAACCGGAGCUAAUACCGGAUAAUAUAUUGAACCGCAUGGUUCUAUAGUGAAGGACGGUUUUGCUGUCACUUAUAGAUGGACCCGCGCCGCAUUAGCUAGUUGGUAAGGUAACGGCUUACCAAGGCUACGAUGCGUAGCCGACCUGAGAGGGUGAUCGGCCACACUGGAACUGAGACACGGUCCAGACUCCUACGGGAGGCAGCAGUAGGGAAUCUUCCGCAAAGGGCGAAAGCUUGACGGAGCAACGCCGCGUGAGUGAUGAAGGUCUUCGGAUCGUAAAACUCUGUUAUUAGGGAAGAACAAAUGUGUAAGUAACUAUGCACGUCUUGACGGUACCUAAUCAGAAAGCCACGGCUAACUACGUG
rnacentral:rRNA from 1 species